GAUGAACGCUGGCGGCGUGCUUAAUACAUGCAAGUCGAACGGACAGGCCCUGCUCUUGCGGGGCGCUUGUUAGGCGAACGGGGGAGUAUAACGCGUGUAACCUCUCCCUGUCUUUGGGAUAUAACUUCGAAACAGGGGAGCAUAUCAGGUAGGAUCUUUUGCUGCACGGUGGGGGAAGGUAAGAGUCGGUGGUGCGGGAUGGUCUCGCGGCUUAUGAGCUGGUUGGUGUGGUAGUGGCUGACCAAGGUUGUGACGGAUAGCCGGCCUGAGAGGGUGACCGGCCACAUUGGGCCUGAGAUACGGCCCAGACUCCUACGGGAGGCAGCAGUGGGGAAUAUUGCACAAUGGGCGGAAGCCUGAUGCAGCAACGCCGCGUGCGGGAUGACGGCCUUCGGGUUGUAAACCGCUUUCGCCUGUGACGAAGCGUGAGUGACGGUAAUGGGUAAAGAAGCACCGGCUAACUACGUG
rnacentral:rRNA from 1 species